rnacentral:rRNA from 1 species
UAGCAAACAGGAUUAGAUACCCUGGUAGUCCACGCCGUAAACGAUGUAGACUAGCCGUUGGGUCCCUUGAGGACUUAGUGGCGCAGUUAACCCGAUAAGUCGACCGCCUGGGGAGUACGGCCGCAAGGUUAAAACUCAAAUGAAUUGACGGGGGCCCGCACAAGCGGUGGAGCAUGUGGUUUAAUUCGAUGCAACGCGAAGAACCUUACCUACCCUUGACAUCCUGCGAACCCGGAAGAGAUUCCGGGGUGCCUUCGGGAGCGCAGAGACAGGUGCUGCAUGGCUGUCGUCAGCUCGUGUUGUGAAAUGUUGGGUUAAGUCCCGUAACGAGCGCAACCCUUGUCCCUAUUUGCCAGCGAUUCGGUCGGGAACUCUAGGGAGACUGCCGGUGACAAACCGGAGGAAGGUGGGGACGACGUCAAGUCAUCAUGGCCCUUACGGGUAGGGCUACACACGUGCUACAAUGGCCGGUACAAAGGGUUGCGAAAGCGCGAGCUGAAGCUAAUCCCGAAAAGCCGGUCUCAGUCCGGAUCGGAGUCUGCAACUCGACUCCGCGAAGUCGGAAUCGCUAGUAAUCGUGCAUCAGAAUGGCAUAGGUGAAUACGUUCCCGGGCCUUGUACACACCGCCCGUCACACC